rnacentral:rRNA from 1 species
UGGGGAAUCUUGGACAAUGGGGGAAACCCUGAUCCAGCCAUGCCGCGUGAGCGAUGACGGCCUUAGGGUUGUAAAGCUCUUUCACCGGUGACGAUAAUGACGGUAGCCGGAGAAGAAGCCCCGGCUAACUCCGUGCCAGCAGCCGCGGUAAUACGGAGGGGGCUAGCGUUGUUCGGAAUUACUGGGCGUAAAGCGCACGUAGGCGGACCGUUAAGUCGGGGGUGAAAUCCCGGGGCUCAACCCCGGAACUGCCUCCGAUACUGGCGGUCUAGAGGUCGAGAGAGGCGAGUGGAAUGACGAGUGUAGAGGUGAAAUUCGUAGAUAUUCGUCGGAACACCAGUGGCGAAGGCGGCUCGCUGGCUCGAUACUGACGCUGAGGUGCGAAAGCGUGGGGAGCAAACAGGAUUAGAUACCCCCGUAGUCC